rnacentral:rRNA from 1 species
CUGCCAGUAGUCAUAUGCUUGUCUCAAAGAUUAAGCCAUGCAUGUCUUAGUGUAAAUAACGUUAUGAAACUGCGAAUGGCUCAUUAAAACAGUUAUAGUUUACUUGAUAAUAGAAUUCUACAUGGAUAACCGUGGUAAUUCUAGGGCUAAUACAUGCUGUCAAACCUGACUUUUGGAAAGGUUGUAUUUAUUAGAUAACAAACCAAUAUUCCUUCGGGUCUAUUGUGAUGAUUCAUAGUAACUGAUCGGAGCGAGGCUUUGCCUCGCUAAAUCAUUCAAGUUUCUGCCCUAUCAGCUUUCGAUGGUAGUGUAUAGGACUACCAUGGCAGUCACGGGUAACGGGGAAUUAGGGUUCGAUUCCGGAGAG